AAGCGUGCGCAGGCGGUUAUGUAAGACAGAUGUGAAAUCCCCGGGCUCAACCUGGGAACUGCAUUUGUGACUGCAUGGCUAGAGUACGGUAGAGGGGGGAUGGAAUUCCGCGUGUAGCAGUGAAAUGCGUAGAUAUGCGGAGGAACACCGAUGGCGAAGGCAAUCCCCUGGACCUGUACUGACGCUCAUGCACGAAAGCGUGGGGAGCAAACAGGAUUAGAUACCCUGGU
rnacentral:rRNA from 1 species